rnacentral:rRNA from 1 species
AUUGAACGCUGGCGGCAUGCUUUACACAUGCAAGUCGAACGGUAACAGGCCUUCGGGCGCUGACGAGUGGCGAACGGGUGAGUAAUGCAUCGGAACGUGCCCAGUCGUGGGGGAUAACGCAGCGAAAGCUGCGCUAAUACCGCAUACGAUCUGUGGAUGAAAGCGGGGACCGUAAGGCCUCGCGCGAUUGGAGCGGCCGAUGUCAGAUUAGGUAGUUGGUGGGGUAAAGGCUCACCAAGCCAACGAUCUGUAGCUGGUCUGAGAGGACGACCAGCCACACUGGGACUGAGACACGGCCCAGACUCCUACGGGAGGCAGCAGUGGGGAAUUUUGGACAAUGGGGCAACCCUGAUUAGCAAUGCCGCGUGCAGGAAGAAGGCCUUCGGUUGUAAACUGCUUUGUACGGAACGAAAAGGCUCUGGCUAAUACCUGGGGCACAUGACGGUACCGUAAGAAUAAGCACCGGCUAACUACGUGCCAGCAGCCGCGGUAAUACGUAGGGUGCAAGCGUUAAUCGGUAUUACUGGGCGUAAAGCGUGCGCAGGCGGUGCUGUAAGACAGGCGUGAAAUCCCCGGGCUCAACCUGGGAAUUGCGCUUGUGACUGCAGUGCUGGAGUGCGGCAGAGGGGGAUGGAAUUCCGCGUGUAGCAGUGAAAUGCGUAGAUAUGCGGAGGAACACCGAUGGCGAAGGCAAUCCCCUGGGCCUGCACUGACGCUCAUGCACGAAAAGCGUGGGGGAGCAAAACA